rnacentral:rRNA from 1 species
UAGUGAGUUUGAUCCUGGCUCAGGAUGAACGCUAGCGGCAGGCCUAAUACAUGCAAGUCGAACGGGUGGUAGUCGAAUACCACUAGUGGCGCACGGGUGCGUAACGCGUAACAACCUGCCCUUGACUGGGGGUAUAGCCCGUCCGAAAGGCGGAUUAAUACCGCAUAAACUCACAGUAUGGCAUCAUACAAUUGAGUUAAAGAUUUAUUGGUCAAGGAUGGGGUUGCGUGACAUUAGCUAGUUGGC